rnacentral:rRNA from 1 species
CAGAGUUUAUCCUGGCUCAGAACGAACGCUGGCGGCAGGCUUAACACAUGCAAGUCGAGCGCCCCGCAAGGGGAGCGGCAGACGGGUGAGUAACGCGUGGGAACGUACCCUUUACUACGGAAUAACGCAGGGAAACUUGUGCUAAUACCGUAUGUGCCCUUCGGGGGAAAGAUUUAUCGGUAAGGGAUCGGCCCGCGUUGGAUUAGCUAGUUGGUGGGGUAAAGGCCUACCAAGGCGACGAUCCAUAGCUGGUCUGAGAGGAUGAUCAGCCACAUUGGGACUGAGACACGGCCCAAACUCCUACGGGAGGCAGCAGUGGGGAAUAUUGGACAAUGGGCGCAAGCCUGACCCAGCCAUGCCGCGUGAGUGAUGAAGGCCCUAGGGUUGUAAAGCUCUUUCACCGGAGAAGAUAAUGACGGUAUCCGGAGAAGAAGCCCCG